AUUACUUAAUGCUUUCGCUCAGUCACGCACGAUGUAUUGUGCACAACGAGUAAUCAUCGUUUACCGCGUGGACUACCAGGGUAUCUAAUCCUGUUCGCUCCCCACGCUUUCGUCCAUCAGCGUCAAUAAUGGCUUAGUAAGCUGCCUUCGCAAUUGGUGUUCUACGUUAUAUCUAUGCAUUUCACCGCUACAUAACGUAUUCCGCCUACCUCAACCAUAUUCAAGUUCUUCAGUUUCAAUGGCAGUUCCAGAGUUGAGCUCUGGGAUUUCACCACUGACUUAAAGAACCGCCUACGGACCCUUUAAACCCAAUAAAUCCGGAUAACGCUCGAAUCCUCCGUAUUACCGCGGCUGCUGGCACGGAGUUAGCCGAUCCUUAUUCAUACAGUACAUUCAAAUCACUACACGUAGCGACAAUUAUUCCUGUAAAAAAGCAGUUUACAACCCAUAGGGCCGUCAUCCUGCACGCGACAUGGCUGGUUCAGACUUGCGUCCAUUGACCAAUAUUCCUCACUGCUGCCUCCCGUAGAGUCUGGUCCGUGUCUCAGUACCAGUGUGGGGGACUAUCCUCUCAGACCCCCUAAGCAUCAUUGUCUUGGUGAGCCGUUACCUCACCAACUAACUAAUGCUACGCAUGCCCAUCUUAUACCACCGGAGUUUUAAUAUUUAAACCAUGCGAUUCAAACAUANUAUGCGGUAUUANUCCAGAUUCUCUGGGCUAUCCCCAGUAUAAGGUAGGUUGCAUACGCGUUACUCACCGUGCGCGGGUCGCAUCUUCUACAGCUA
rnacentral:rRNA from 1 species